GACGAACGCUGGCGGCGUGCUUAACACAUGCAAGUCGAACGGAAAGGCCCUGCUUUUGUGGGGUGCUCGAGUGGCGAACGGGUGAGUAACACGUGAGUAACCUGCCCUUGACUUUGGGAUAACUUCAGGAAACUGGGGCUAAUACCGGAUAGGAGCUCCUGCUGCAUGGUGGGGGAUGGAAAGUUUCGGCGGUUGGGGAUGGACUCGCGGCUUAUCAGCUUGUUGGUGGGGUAGUGGCUUACCAAGGCUUUGACGGGUAGCCGGCCUGAGAGGGUGACCGGCCACAUUGGGACUGAGAGACGGCCCAGACUCCUACGGGAGGCAGCAGUGGGGAAUAUUGCACAAUGGGCGGAAGCCUGAUGCAGCAACGCCGCGUGCGGGAUGACGGCCUUCGGGUUGUAAACCGCUUUCGCCUGUGACGAAGCGUGAGUGACGGUAAUGGGUAAAGAAGCACCGGCUAACUACGUG
rnacentral:rRNA from 1 species